rnacentral:rRNA from 1 species
GAUGAACGCUGGCGGCGUGCUUAACACAUGCAAGUCGAACGGGAAUUACUUUAUUGAAACUUCGGUCGAUUUAAUUUAAUUCUAGUGGCGGACGGGUGAGUAACGCGUGGGUAACCUGCCUUGUACAGGGGGAUAACAGUCAGAAAUGACUGCUAAUACCGCAUAAGCGCACAGGACCGCAUGGUCCGGUGUGAAAAACUCCGGUGGUAUAAGAUGGACCCGCGUUGGAUUAGCUUGUUGGUGGGGUAACGGCCCACCAAGGCGACGAUCCAUAGCCGGCCUGAGAGGGUGAACGGCCACAUUGGGACUGAGACACGGCCCAGACUCCUACGGGAGGCAGCAGUGGGGAAUAUUGCACAAUGGGGGAAACCCUGAUGCAGCGACGCCGCGUGAAGGAAGAAGUAUCUCGGUAUGUAAACUUCUAUCAGCAGGGAAGAAAAUGACGGUACCUGACUAAGAAGCCCCGGCUAACUACGUGCCAGCAGCCGCGGUAAUACGUAGGGGGCAAGCGUUAUCCGGAUUUACUGGGUGUAAAGGGAGCGUAGACGGAUGGACAAGUCUGAUGUGAAAGGCUGGGGCUCAACCCCGGGACUGCAUUGGAAACUGCCCGUCUUGGGUGCCGGAGAGGUAAGCGGAAUUCCUAGUGUAGCGGUGAAAUGCGUAGAUAUUAGGAGGAACACCAGUGGCGAAGGCGGCUUA